CCACUUUUCCUCUCCCUCAAACAGAGCUCUUUGGGCUCUGAAUAUCUGAAGUGCAAAGACGUGUGAAAGCUGCAGAGUGUUGGGGUCAAAUAGCUCUGGAGUCUGGAUACCAUCGGUUGUGCGUUUACUGCAGAUAGCCUCCCGAUAUCAUCUGAAUAAAUGGCUAAACAUG